rnacentral:rRNA from 1 species
UACGUAGGGCGCAAGCGUUGUCCGGAAUUAUUGGGCGUAAAGAGCUCGUAGGCGGCUUGUCACGUCGGGUGUGAAAGCUCGGGGCUUAACCCCCGGGUCUGCAUUCGAUACGGGGCUGGCUGGAGUGUGGUAGGGGAGAUCGGAAUUCCUGGUGUAGCGGUGAAAAUGCGCAGAUAUCAGGAGGAACACCGGUGGCGAAGGCGGAUCUCUGGGCCAUUACUGACGCUGAGGAGCGAAAAGCGUGGGGGAGCGAACAGG